rnacentral:rRNA from 1 species
AAGUAAAAGUCGUAACAAGGUCUCCGUUGGUGAACCAGCGGAGGGAUCAUUACUGAGUUUACGCUCUACAACCCUUUGUGAACAUACCUACAACUGUUGCUUCGGCGGGUAGGGUCCCCGUGACCCUCCCGGCCUCCCGCCCCCCCGGGCGGGUCGGCGCCCGCCGGAGGAUAACCAAACUCUGAUUUAACGACGUUUCUUCUGAGUGGUACAAGCAAAUAAUCAAAACUUUUAACAACGGAUCUCUUGGUUCUGGCAUCGAUGAAGAACGCAGCGAAAUGCGAUAAGUAAUGUGAAUUGCAGAAUUCAGUGAAUCAUCGAAUCUUUGAACGCACAUUGCGCCCGCCAGCAUUCUGGCGGGCAUGCCUGUUCGAGCGUCAUUUCAACCCUCAAGCUCUGCUUGGUGUUGGGGCCCUACAGCUGAUGUAGGCCCUCAAAGGUAGUGGCGGACCCUCCCGGAGCCUCCUUUGCGUAGUAACUUUACGUCUCGCACUGGGAUCCGGAGGGACUCUUGCCGUAAAACCCCCCAAUUUUCCAAAGGUUGACCUCGGAUCAGGUAGGAAUACCCGCUGAACUUAAGCAUAUCAAUAAGCGGAGGAA